rnacentral:rRNA from 1 species
ACGAGAACCCGGGCUUGCCCGGGUGGACAGUGGCGAACGGGUGAGUAACACGUGAGCAACCUGCCCCGAAGACGGGAAUAAGCCGGGGAAACCUGGUCUAAUGCCCGAUGCUCUCGCCGGACCGCAUGAUCCGGCGAGGAAAGCUCCGGCGCUUCGGGAUGGGCUCGCGGCUUAUCAGCUUGUUGGUGGGGUCACGGCCCACCAAGGCGACAACAAGUAGCUGGUCUGAGAGGAUGUCCAGCCCACACUGGGACUGAGACACGGCCCAGACUCCUACGGGAGGCAGCAGUGGGGAAUCUUGCGCAAUGGGCGAAAGCCUGACGCAGCGACGCCGCGUGCGGGAUGAAGGCCUUCGGAUUGUAAACCGCUUUCAGCAGGGACAAAAUUGACGGUACCUGCAAAAAAAGCCCCGGCCAACUACGUGCCAGCAGCCGCGGUAAUACGUAGGGGGCGAGCGUUGUCCGGAAUUAUUGGGCGUAAAGAGCUCGUAGGCGGUUCGGCAAGUCACGUGUGAAAUCUCCACGCUCAACGUGGAGUCGCCACGUGAGACUGCCGUGACUCGAGUCCGGUAGGGAACGUGGAAUUCCCGGUGUACGGUUAAAUGCGAAAAAUCGGGGAGGAAACACCCGUAGCGAAGGCGGCGCUUUGGGCCGGUACUGACCCUGAAGAGCGAAAGCGUGGGGAGCAAACAGGAUUAAAUACCCUGGUAGUCCACCGCCUUAAACGUUGGGCACUUA